rnacentral:tRNA from 1 species
AGAAAAGUAAGCUAAGUUAUAAGCUAAUGGGUUCAUACCCCAUUUAUAGAGUCAUUUCUCUUUUCUA